rnacentral:rRNA from 1 species
GGUCCAGACUCCUACGGGAGGCAGCAGUAGGGAAUUUUGCGCAAUGGGCGAAAGCCUGACGCAGCAACGCCGCGUGAUCGAGACGCCCUUCGGGGUGUAAAGAUCUGUCAGUGGGGACGAAACUUGACGGUACCCACAGAGGAAGCACCGGCUAACUCCGUGCCAGCAGCCGCGGUAAUACGCAUGGAGCAAGCGUUAUCCGGAUUUACUGGGUGUAAAGGGAGCGCAGACGGCAGGGCAAGUCUGAUGUGAAAGUCCGGGGCUCAACCCCGGGACUGCAUUGGAAACUGUCCGGCUAGAGUGCAGGAGAGGUAAGUGGAAUUCCUAGUGUAGCGGUGAAAUGCGUAGAUAUUAGGAGGAACACCAGUGGCGAAGGCGGCUUACUGGACUGUAACUGACGUUGAGGCUCGAAAGCGUGGGGAGCAAACAGGAUUAGAUACCCCAGUA